CUAACAGAAGCUCCCACCUAGAGGAUGUUUGUCCCUGGCCCUGUGCUGGACUUGGCAAUCUAGCUUCCCAGACUCCAAGUCCCUCCUGAACAGUCUGUCUUCUGCUUUUGCUGCCACUGAACAUUCUUGGACUUCCGUAGAAGAACCCGUAUCACCUUGUUUCAGAUUCUCAGUUACAUUUUUGAUCCAGCGGCAAAAAUGCUAUCAUGGUCCCUGGCUGAUGGGCAGCGAUUCCCACAGGCAUCCUGGCUCCCAGAUCUGGGCACUGGGACUUCCACCCCCUGCACUGAGAGGUGCUCAGCUAUACAUCUGCCUGCCUAUUGCAAUGGGGACAGAUUGUAUUGGCUGACAGGUUCCAGUCUCCUCUUCCCACUUCGUUGAUAGACACACUGAAUCCAGCUUCGACAGGGUCCCAGGGUCACCUCACUCCUUAUAAGAUGGGUUUCCUGCCUCAGAAAGAGCACCUAUUUCCUGGAGGGUGGCUGGGAACCUUGGCUAUAAUUGAGUCAGUCGUGGGUGCCUCACACCAACCCUGUUUACAGAUAGCCAAGCUGAAGAACUGGAGGGUCUGUCUGAUCACGUGCCCAUGGCUCAGGGUAGCUGGUGGCACGGAGCCUGCAUCUGUAGAAUUCUUGAAUCUUAACCUUAGUUUAUAAGCAAAGCAAUACCCGGUACCAAGAAGGAUGUCAUCAAAACCACGUGGUGCAGGACUCGGCCUGGUGGGCGUCCUCCGCACUGCGGACUGCCACAGGUCUGAUCCUCUUUUGAAUGACACACAAACCACACCCAAAUCUCCUGCUUAUUAGUCCUCCUGGCCACGCCUAAGUCCAACCCCCGCGCUGUAGGUUCCGCCCCCCGCGGGCAGCGCUGGCCUCCCAUUGGCCUCCGUUUCCAUGGUUACACGAGACCUGCGGCGCUGCUGGCUUCCCGACACGUGUCCCACGGAGCCGCCCGGAAUUUGACAGGGGACCAUGUGCGCGGCAGCGCGGGAGCCAGACAAAGACGGGGAGGCGGUGGGGGACGAAGCCCGGUGGAGAGACGAAGCCAGGCGGAGAGGCUGGGAGCCGCGCCUCCCGCCUGCUGGACACCUCGCUUUCCUCAUUAUUGCUUGAAGAGUGGAUUAAACAAACAAACAAACAAACAAAAAUUAAUGGGAGAGAGGUGGGAAAGGAUCAGAACCAGCCCCACCUACUGUCUCUUCUACAGGAAAAACCCACAGGCGAACAUCUUUUAUGACUGUGAACGCGCAGGCUCCCUGCUUACACCUCCUGGCCCUGGGCAUCUCAGCCCACCUUAACUUCAACCAGUGAGGUUCAAAUUCAGUUGAUUUUGCCUGGCUAGUUCUAGUAAGGAAAGCUUUUCUGGCGUGGUUGUUUCGAUGCUUGAAAUAAAUGAGAUCCAAGCAAUUGUGGGGAACCUCUCUGGCCCAAGCAUCCUCUGCCUCUCUUACUGCCUUCAGGCAACCUCUCCCAUGAGGCCCUCCUGGGCUCUGGCCCCAGCGCUGUGGGGCACGGACUUUGUCCUCUCGCACCCCCAUUUCUCCUCUUGCAGCCCUUUGUGAUGGCUACCAUAACAAAUCACUCCAGAUUUAGUGUCAUAAAACAACAGCGGAGUUCUACAGGUCAGAGGUCAAAUCUGGAUGAAUUCAAGUUACCUGCUUUCCCAUCUCAGAGUCCCUCAGUCACUCGGAUGAACUAGAAGAAACCCCCGGCUCAAAGGCUGAGCUAGCCAUGAGCUGGUCCCAGAGUCAUGGUGAACCCUGUGAAUUUCUACUGAAGCUCAAGGACUUGGUCUAGGGAUGCUGACGAGACCCACGGCCAGGACACACAAGAUGCCAGAAUGACAGCCGUGACGUGACAUCGCUAGCAGCCGCUGACACCGGAAGCUGUUGACACGGGAUGCCGCUGGCACCGGAAGCUGCUUGGUAGCAUCUCCAAGCUUGCUUUACAUAAGCUCUCAGAAUGGCUGGGGAAUCCAGCUCUCACCUGCUCCCCACUUUAUGGAUGAGAACCUUGGACUCUUCAAGUUGACCAUACCUGCCUUUUGACUAGAGUGGAGGCCAGGGAAGUUUCUCAUGCUUCCUGCUUGG